rnacentral:snRNA from 1 species
UUUGCACUCAGGGCGAUUCGCUCUGAAUAAGUGUAGUAUCUGUUCUGAAUCGCUUGACAGCGGUUCGCCUGGUAUGUGCCAGGCGCCUCUGUUCAUACUAAUUUAUUAACUCAUUGUCCUAGCAUGUCUAGGCGAUGGAUUUAGGCGGUGUCUUCACUAUCUCACCUAACCUAAAUCACCCAAU